rnacentral:rRNA from 1 species
UACGUAGGGUGCGAGCGUUAAUCGGAAUUACUGGGCGUAAAGCGUGCGCAGGCGGUUUUGUAAGUCUGACGUGAAAUCCCCGGGCUCAACCUGGGAACUGCGUUGGAGACUGCAAGGCUGGAGUCUGGCAGAGGGGGGUAGAAUUCCACGUGUAGCAGUGAAAUGCGUAGAGAUGUGGAGGAACACCGAUGGCGAAGGCAGCCCCCUGGGUCAAGACUGACGCUCAUGCACGAAAGCGUGGGGAGCAAACGGG